AUUGAACGCUGGCGGCAGGCCUAACACAUGCAAGUCGAGCGAGCGGCGGACGGGUGAGUAAUGUCUGGGGAUCUGCCCGAUAGAGGGGGAUAACUACUGGAAACGGUGGCUAAUACCGCAUACUAUCGGAUGUACCCAUAUGGGAUUAGCUAGUAGGUGGGGUAAUGGCUCACCUAGGCGACGAUCCCUAGCUGGUCUGAGAGGAUGAUCAGCCACACUGGGACUGAGACACGGCCCAGACUCCUACGGGAGGCAGCAGUGGGGAAUAUUGCACAAUGGGCGCAAGCCUGAUGCAGCCAUGCCGCGUGUGUGAAGAAGGCCUUCGGGUUGUAAAGUACUUUCAGUGGGGAGGCGUUACCGACAGAAGAAGCACCGGCUAACUCCGUGCCAGCAGCCGCGGUAAUAC
rnacentral:rRNA from 1 species